UUGAAUAACUUGGUGUUGAGCUGGCCCUAGUCGGGCAUGUGCUUGCAUCAUAUUAUUUACCUAUCUCUUGUGCACCUUUUGUAGUCUUUGAAGUGUUCGCAGUCAAAUGCGGUUUUGGGGAUUGGGCUUUCUUGUGCUUUCCCCUGUUUGCUUCAAAGGCUAUGUUUUUAUACACACUAUUAAAAGUCACAGAAUGUCUCUUAUUGACUUUCGAGUCAGUAAAUCUAUA
rnacentral:misc_RNA from 1 species